rnacentral:lncRNA from 1 species
UUCCAAUACAACUGAGAAUAAAUCCCAUUGAUUUUACCUUCUCCUGCACCAUAAUACCAAUAAAAAUAGCAGCCCUGCAACCCUUGUUGAAAAGCUCAUUUAGAAGAGCUCACUUAAAUAGGAAUAAACAAAUAGAGCUGGCUACUUCCAAUCGCAAUUGCUUCUAUUUUGUUAAAUGGGAAAAUGUUAACCAAAGCCUAGUAAAACUGGCUAAUGUAAUAUUUCUAGAAAGAAAAGCUUAAUCAAAUGCAUUAUGUUUUUUUCUUGAUUCAGCAGUGAUGUCACGGCGAGAGCCUAGGUACUACGGUGCAGUGUAAAUGGCCAUUACCGCCUCAGCCACCUCAGGGCAAGGCGACUUCAAUCAGGCAAGCGCCUGGCAUGCUUUUCAGGAGCCUUUGUUGAAAAACCAGGCGCAAAAAAUAAUAAAAAAUAAAAAAGCACCUCACUAAAGAGCCAUUCUGUUCUCCUGUUUUUGUUUUUUUUUUUUAACUUUUAAAAGAAAAAUAUAAUAAAUGAUUUUUUAAUUAAUUAUUGACCUAAUUUUAUUAUAUAAAAA